rnacentral:sRNA from 1 species
AAGGCAGAUGAUCUCAGCCUGGCACACACAGAAGCCUCUCUCCUCUCCCGGCCCAGCUCUUCCUUCCUCCAGGCGGGGCCGGGCCACAGAUGUGUGUUAAUGAGAGCUUCUCUUUGUUUACAGGGUUUGGGAUGCUCUGACAGACAAUUACAUCCCUUCACUCUCAGAAGACUGGAGGGAUCCAAACAUCGAGGCUCUGAAUGGCAACUGCUCUGACGCUGAGAUCCAUGAGAAAGAAGAGGAAGAGUUCAAUGAGAAGAGUGAAAAUGAUUCUGGUAUCAACGAGGAGCCUCUGCUCACAGCAGAUCAGGUAAUUGAGGAGAUUGAGGAAAUGAUGCAGAACUCCCCAGACCCUGAGGAAGAAGAGGAGGUUCUGGAAGAAGAGGAUGGAGGAGAAACUUCCUCCCAGGCAGACUCGGUCCUCCUGCAGGAGAUGCAGGCGUUGACACAGACCUUCAACAACAACUGGUCCUACGAAGGGCUGAGGCACAUGUCUGGGUCUGAGCUGACCGAGCUGCUGGACCAGGUGGAGGGUGCCAUCCGCGACUUCUCGGAGGAGCUGGUGCAGCAGCUGGC